UUGCUGUGGCUGCACAUAUAAUAAAUUGGUUCGAUGCAGAGAAGAUUAGCAUGGCCCCUGCGAAAGAAUGACGCACAUCAUAUUUAUGGUCUAGCGGUUAAG
ensembl:snRNA U6 U6 spliceosomal RNA